UACUAUUCACACUAGCAGUUUAGCAGUUUACAAACUGACGUUUUUCGCCGGAGCCCUUCUGAAUGUCCGUUUGCGCUCAAAUUUUACAGUCAGGCUCAGUUUUACUUUACUUAACAAAAAAAAUUUUAUCUUUCAAUUUCGACCCUGUUUGGUCGCCGAAAGCUCUACCGAACUGUAAUCUCUAGUAGAUAGCAGUCGGAUUUUAUUUUUCAUUUUUCGGGUGUCAGAAUGGCAUGAAACUUUAAAUUUAGCCACAUAAAAAUAAUUCUGACAUAUCCUCCAGUUUUCAUAAUUUUCUGACACUGUACAUUUUCUGCUAAAAUAUCAGCCCCGUCUCUUAUAGAAAAUUCUAAAUCUUCUGUUUCCGUUCCGAUUUCAGCACAGGUCAUUUCUGACUUAUAUUUUACUUCACUAAAUUGAAUAAAAAUAGUAUCUCACACUAUUUUUAAUUAUUUUUUACUUUUAUAUCAAAAUCCGGUAUGUUACAUUGUGAUUGAUCGGAUAGCUAAAUCGUAAUUAUUGAAUCGCUGGAGGACUUAAUUGUCAAUAUGUUGAUAAUUGAACUAAUUUAUAAUUGUUACAAAUUAGUGGUAUUAAAGUAUAAAUGUUACUAGAGAGAAUUUACUAAUAGUUAGUAAAUUAUGAGAGGACUUAUGUGCAAAUGUUGCAUUAUUAAUUCGAUAUGAUUAAAUUAAGAUAAAGUUCAAGUCGAAUCAAAUUAGGAUUUGAUCGGUCUAACCAAUUAAGGAAAGGAUAAAUUUAAAUCUAGAUUUGUACUUAUCCUUAAUGGUUAUUAUAUUAUUAAAAGAGGAUUAUAUCCCUAUAUAUAAUAUAUGAGAGUUUUUAGAAAACCCUAGCCGUCAUCUCUCUUCUUCUCUCUCUUCCAUCUUUUAGCAAAAAAGACGUCCUUUGCAAGGGAGCUAGCACUCUGGUGAGGACAUUGAUCAAAUCAAUAACCUCGUGUGGAUACCUAUAGAGGCCGGACGCGUGUGCGGCUUCAAGAGAACCCAAUUCUACGAUCAUCAAAUUGAGGUGAAGAUCUAUCCACGCAAAAGGUAAAGAUUCGAUCUUGCUUUUCUUCUUUAGUCAAAGAACAUGAGGGAUUCUAAUUAUGUGGUUUUUGAGAUUAGAUCUUGAGAGUUUUCAAAAUCAAAUUUGUUUGAUUUCUUUUUUCGCUGCAUUUUUACCGUACGCAAUUUUUUAACAGGUAUUUGACACAAACACACUUCAUGAAUAGGUGGUCUAUUGUCUCGAAUUCAAUAGCAUAGAGCACACAGUUUUGUUCCCCAAGCCAACCUUUUUUUUACAGAUUAUCAACAGCAAGUACUUUUUUUCUCAAUACAAGGCAAACGAAGUUCUUAACUUUCUCUGGUGUCUUCAGCUUCCAAAUUUGUGUAGGUGGUUCAGUCUAUAACUCCACCAUGCUUAAGAAAACUAUAAAGCGAUUUAACUAAGAACUGUUGUAAGUCCAUCUCCAUUUGGCCAAGUCCUAUCCAUCCUUCACAACUACAUCUAUGAGUAAUUCUUUCAUGUCAUCCAUCAUAUCUCUCUCUUUCUGGGAUGAGGGGCCAUAGUCUCUUAGAAUCAUAUCCCAUUUCCAUCCCCUUCUUGUAAAGCAAUCUUUCACCUAAUAGUUUUUGCAUCGAGUAUGGUUGUAAAUAGUAGGGAAGGAUGUUCGUAGCGAGCAAUCACCACACCAUAUAUUUGACCAAAAAUCAAUCCAUUUUCCAUCUCCUAACGUGAAUGUCAUCCCGUGGCCCGCAUUUAAAAAUAUCUCUCAUUUAUAGAACACCUUUCCACUAUUGUGAGUAUGGCUGAAAACUUGAUCUUUCUCUAGGAGGCUUUCUCCUUCUAUAAUAUAGUGCCCUAAUCAACUUGUUCCAUUUAAGUUUCGGUUUCGUAAAAAAUCUCCACCACCGUUUUGCUAGAAGAGCAAUAUUCAUCGUCGCAUGAUCUUUGAUCCCAAAACCACUGUCUUUUUUGCUCAUGCAAAGAGAUUUCCACUAGAUCAAGCAAAAGCGCCACUGACUGUUGUGUUGCCCUUCCAGAAGAAAACCCUUCUUAGUGCCUUAAUGCGACGUACAACCUAUUUUGGUACCUCUUGCACCCUAGAAUGGCAGCCAAUCUGAUCUUGUGCAUGCGGCGUCCAAAGUAAAAUAGUUCUAAUUUAUCCUUAUUGAUCUUCAAACCUGAGGCCCAUUCGAAGAUAUGCCAUAUAAAUUGAGGAUUCUUCAUAAAUCUUUUUUUUGCCUCAUAAAUAUAUAUCAUAUCAUCCGCAUAUUGAAUAAGAGUUACUUUACUAUCCGGCAUAGGUCCCAAUCCUCUAAUCAAGUUAUUUUUCUCUGCUAGUUCUGUCUCCUUGCUAGACUCCAAUCAUUAUGAGAAAGAGAAAGGGGAAGAGUGGGUCCCUUUAUUGUACUCCUUUUUUUUACUUUGAUCCACUGGGUUGGCUUUCCAUUCACUAAAAUCGCAACUUUUGCAUUGAUAGUACAUUGAUCGACCCAUCGGCACCAUUUGUGAUCCACUCCCAACCAAAUCAUAAUCUUUUAAGAAAUUGCCAAUUAACCUUGUCAUAAGCUUUCUCAAAAUCAACUUUCACCCUUGCUCCUUUCAUUGCUAAUUUGGUGCCCCACGUUACUAGCUCACUAGCCGUCACAAAUGAGUCAAGAAUUAUACGACCCUUUAUAAAUGCAGAUUAUGAAGGUGAAAAAUAUCCUUCAUUACCAUUUCCAAUCUAUUUGCAAGAACUUACGAUAUUAUCAUUUACACUCCAUUAAUAAGGCUAAUUGGCCGAAAAUCAUUAGCACUGUUAGCACCUUCUUUUCUAGGGACCAGACAAAUGUAGGAAAAAUCAAUAGCUCCCGCGUUUACUCGGCCUUCAUAGAGCUCCUGAAAGAUUUUCAAGAUAUCUUCCCGUAUAGUCUCCCAAAAAGUUUGGUAAAAUAAAUCAGGCCUAGGUGCCUUAUCUGCUCCCAAUUGAAAUAACCUCAACCCUAUAGUGCAUGAAUGCCAAUUAUAUAUAUACGUAUAUGCUCAACAAGGAGACAUAGACAUAAUGAAGGAUUCGAAGAUUUCGGAUAGCACCACCCACCUCGUAGGGAUGCCGAGAUGCGAGAAUCCAAGUCCCGCGAUUUUGGACACCUAUCUCUCUUGACCCAUGGCUAACGAAGGCAAAACGAAGCUUUCUCUCCAUAUCUUGCCGUAGACUCGUCGGAACGUCGAUCCGGGUCUUCCAAUGCAUCGGAUUUACCCUCAAUUAGGAUUACAUGAGAUCAAUUCCAUGCUAGAUCUCCAAUCCUACAAAAUUCCAAUUCCAUGUUUAGGGUUCACAUAACCUCAACCUACAUAUCAGGAAGUGGUGAAUCGUGCACUUAUUGUGGAGAAAGGUGCAGAGAUCACUAAAGAGGAAAGGGAAGCUUUUGAUCGAGAAAAAGAAAAAAGGCAAGCAGCCGAGGGUAGCAGUCAAACACACUCUAAGAGGCCGCUGAAGCAUCCGAGGAGCCAGUCGCGAGGGCGCGGUUCUACAAUGACUCGUGGAGCACCGGAUCGUCGGCGAGCACUGCGUUGUUUGAUCUGUGGUGUUCCUUACUUUCCACCGUAGUGUCCACAACGUGGGGGCAAGUGCUCCUCUGUGGCCAGGAGGGCCAUUUUUGUUCUGAGUGCCUGAGGGGUUUCUUUCCAACGCCGUCAUCUGCGUCAGCACCCGCGUCACCGGCUCCAAGUCAGGGACUCUAUCGACACACUACCAGAUUGGGCGGCCACCUGUUCAAUGUUAGUCUGAGACACUGCGCCAGGCACCAAGUGGGUGUAUGUAUGCCGCCUAGACUGAGGAGGCAGCAGCAGCAGAGAAGGUCGUUACAGGUAUCAUUUUAAUUAAUGACGUCAAAGUUCGUGCAUUAUUUGAUACCAGUGAAUCUCAUUCCUUUAUUGAUUGGCUAUUUGCCGAGUUACACAGCAUUGAGCUUGUAACACACUGAACUUUAGCAAAUUGCAAGGUUCGAGUGUUUGAUUGUGUUCUGAGCUUUUCCGAGUUUUUUGGAGGGUCGUUGACCGUGUUCUGACGUAUGACUCAUGUCCCGAUGAGCGAGGAUGAGAACUUAGCACCAAAAUCUCUAAAUUGCAGAUUUUGGGCUCCUCUCGGGUUGAGCUCUGCAGGGCAGAGUAUCGGUGCUGCAUCGGUCGAGUACCGGUACUAGACCUAGUACCAGUACGGCAUUGCAAGGAUAUCGGUACUCUGUGUGUUUGCUCGCUUACCCGAGGCUCGUGUUUGCACGUGCUGUUGCCUGGUACCGGUAUUCCAACCCGCGUACCGGUACGCAGUGCAGAUGCAGACUGCACGAUUGUUGAGGAAUUUUUUUGAAUUUGUAACAACUCUAUAUAUACCCCACGCCCCCUUUUGGGUUCCUUGAGCUUGGAACCAGUAAAGAGAAGGGUAAGGAGCCUCUCAUCUUCCCCUCUUUGAUUUUCUUUUCUUUUUGCUUGGAUUUUGGAUGAUUAAUCACCUCUUUUUGCUUCUCUUUGCAUGUUGGUGGUUCUCCCACCAUUGGAGAAGCCUUGGAGCUUGGAUUGAAGCUUUUUUGAGGAUAGAACUUCAACCCUAGCACCUUCCUAGCUAGGUUUGGAGCUUCAAGAGAGGUUAGUAACCUUGAUCUUCCCUUUAGAUCAUAUUUUUUGUUGAUUUUUGUGAUAAAAACUUAGAAUGAGAGAUCUAAAAUUUUAUUUGGGGAUUUUUUAUUUGUAGCUUUUGGGGUUUAAUUGAUGGGUGUAGAACUUUCUUUUAGGUGGGAUUAGAAAUAUUCUAGCUUCCAUUUGGAGUUUGGAAGGGUUCUAUACCAUUCAAGGUGAGUUUUGACCUCUUGUUGGGUUGGUUAAAGUUUAGCUCAUGGGUAUUCGUUCGUUGCCCCUAACCCUUUUAGAAUCUUUGUUAGGGAGCUAGGAGACUAGUGGUCAUCCUCGUUCGCGCAAUCGAAGGAGAUUCGAGGAGUUCUUUGUGGGUUUGACCUUAUCGAAAUGGGUGGACUCCUCCUAUGUUAUACUCUUUAUUGUAAAAUAGAAAAUCUUGCAUAUUCAUGCUAGAUAGAGCAUAUGUGAAUUGUAGAAUGCUUAAAAUGCAUAUGUUAUAUAUCAUGUUAUUUCACCUCUAUGUAGUAAAGAGAUAAGUACAUAGUAAUCAUGUAAGUGAAUGGCAUUCGUUUAUAUGGUUUGAAAUCAUAUUUCAUUUAGUAAAAAUGAUAAGUAUAACAUACUCUUGGACAUAGAACUCAUGCUUGACAUAGUGGACAUAAAUGUCAUAAAGUGGGAUUCAACUUAGUAAAUGGAUAAACUCUUACUUGAUGACAUAGUGACAGGCCAUUGGGACACUAGCCUUUAUACCAUAUUUUAGAUAUGAUGACAUUGCACUUGAGACGGAUGACUACGCUUGCUUGCUAUUGUGCUCAUUCGCACAUGCUUGUGAGGGUCGCUUCCCACAAGCCGGUACUCCGAAGAUAACUAACGCGACAUAAGCUCGCCCGUGCGGGAUUGGGCGCCGAAAUGGAAUGUCGUGGGGAAGGCUCAUUCCUAGAGUGGUAAUGUUGACUACUAUGGGGCCAUUAGGCACGGCGCAAACCGAACUACCCUUGCGUAGGUCCUAUAUGAUUGGAACAAUAUUGAAUUAAAAUGCAAUAUUGACAUUAGACUAAUUGUAAAUGUUGACAUUCUACUAGCUGUACUUGUGGACAUCAUGCUAAUUAUAUAUAUGUUCAUUCAUGUUAGAAUAGCACAUAUACUUGUGGAACUUCAUGCUAAGUAGAGGCAUAGUAGUUUAGUAAGUUUUACUUCAGGCUUAAUAUACAUGUUGUUCAUUUCAUUGACAUGUUAAAUUUCACUACUUAUGCCUCCAUAACCUAGUGGUGUAUUUCGCUGAUGUCUCUUACCCACUCGAAACUAUUGAUUAAUAGUUCUCACGCCCCCUGUUUUGUUAUUUUCGUUACAGAGCCUUCCACUCCGGGAGAGGCUAGGGAUCGCGGCAAGGGUGUCGCAUCUAGCUAGAUUGCAAGGAGUUUUUACUUAGGUGGCUCACCUCUCUAUUUUUGUAUUUAUUGUAGAGAGAGACUAUUGUACCAUAUGUGUAGAGACCACUAUUUUUGUAUAUUUUGUACCUUGUAUUUGGAUCUUGGGAUGUAUCUUCCUUAUGGUUUAUGUUCGUUGUUUAGUUCUUUUAUAUUUCCAUUUGUCAUUAGAAUUUAGUUGUAUUCUCGCUCUGAUAUCUCUAGAUGCUUAUUACUUUUGUUUUAUUUAUGGCUUUGUUGUAGACGUCUUAUAUGUUGUAGGCAUAUGGCGGGUCUGGACACGCACCGGGCGGGCUUCCACUGGGUCCCGGGGCGUGACAGAGUUGGUACCUACUUUGCAUUCUAGAUGAGUGAUUGUACCGAACCAUAUCUUGGACAUUCGAGAGUUCUGCCCUAACUGGCCUAUAUGGGUAGGGGAUUGGAUUAUGCCUCUUGAUUUGUUGGCAGUGCAUAAGCUUGGUGAGUUUGAUAUAGUGUUAGGUAUGGAUUGGCUUACGAGGUACUAUGCUACUAUCGAUUGCAAGAAUCGAACGGUGACCUUUCGGGAACCGGGACAGGAUGUGGUAGUAUUCAGAGGAUGCCAGAGCUCGCUAUUUGCGAUGACUAUAAGCUCUUCGCGAGCUAGAUAGCUGAUCAGGAGAGGUUGUGUAGCCUUCUUGGCUAGUAUUACUGCGAGGGAUGGAGAUAUCCCUAAGAUUGAUGAUAUCCCGGUGGUACGGAAGUUUGGUGAUGUGUUUCCAACGGAGUUGCCAGGUAUGCCAUCUGAUAGAAAAUUUGAGUUUGUGGUAGAUCUUGUUCCCAGACUACCCUAAUCUUAAAAGCACCCUAUAGGAUGGCGCUAGCUGAAUUGAAAGAGCUGAGGGCAGAGUUGCAGGAUCUAUUGGACAAGGGUUUCAUCUGUCACGCCCCGGGGCCGAUUUUAAAAGUCUUUUUAAAAUUCAUUACCAUGUUUGAAAUCAGAGUUGCGGAAAACGUGCCCUUUUUUUUUCAACUUAGCCCACGUGACGUAUAGAUCCGCCACAAAUACAAAGUUCCUCUGCCCACUCGAACAGAGUCUCCUUUGUAUUUGCUUGGCGUACCAACAGCUACAUCAGGAUCUCAACCACAGUCUAUGUAAUAUACUGAACUUCUAAUUCAUGAAGUUACAAUGUAUGUUAGCAUAGAAAGCCAUUGGAAUCAUUCCAGUGAGGUUCGGGAGCAUUCGGGUGCUUCGGUGCGCGUAGGCGCGAAAACGGAACCCAAAGGGCUAUGUCGGACCAUAGACUAAAUCCGGCAUUAGCGUUGAUGAAAAGAUGAUGAAAAUAUGUUUGAAAACAUAUUUGGAGAGUCUCGAUUCGAUUUGAAAAGAAUCGGAGACCAAACGAGCGAAAACGAGCGAAAACAGACGAAAAUUGGUGAAAAUGCUGAAAAUUUGGCUAAGUCCUUGAAGGCUGAUUUCUAGACCUUCGGGGACCGGUCUCUCAGCCAAGGACUGGUCUCUCAGGGACCGGUCCCUCAUCCAAGGACCGGUCCCCGAAGCCCGAAAAUGCCCAGUUCGGGCUGUUGCAAGAGAAGCAUAGUUGAGGGGUUUAUAUGCAAUUUUGGCAUGAGAAGAGUGUAUAGAAUGGGGAUUUGGGGCUUUUCUCUCUUCUCCCUCACCCUUUCAACUCUAAACCCUCUCUCUCUCUCUAGAAGAAGGGAAGAAAGAGAAAGAAGAGAAGAAGAAGGAGAAGAAGACAAGGUGGAGGAAAGUCAACCUUAUCAUAUUCUUCCUUGCAAUGGAGCAAGCUUCUUGAGGUAAGCUUCUUGGAGCUUUAAUGGUAGAUCUUUAGGGUUAGGUUCUUAUACUCUAAAGAUGAUUUUAGUGGAAUCCUAGGAUGCUAAAUAGAUGGUUAAUGCAUGAUUCAUGAAGUUAAAUGAUGGAUUUUGUUAUAAUAGCAUCUAGGGCUCCAAAAAAGGGGUUUUUGUAAAUAGUUGGGUUUGAUUUCAAUUGACCCUCUGUAAACCUAAUUGGGGAUCAAACGAACACGAUGGAACGCUCGGUUCGACAAUCCGACGAGUGUACGCAAAGUUAUUGAUGAAACGGUAUGUUUUGGUAUAGAUAGCCCAGCACGCGAGAUAGACGCCCAAAAAUCAUGAAAACGGAUCUGAAGCAUCGUGGUAACGGGGAAUAAACUCCAGAAUAGACGGAUCGCGGAUUGGUGACCGUUCGGGUGGUUGCGCGAGAGGACAAGCCAAACCAGAUCACGGGUGCCGCGGGAGGCGGAUUGCAAGUGACUACAAGCAAUCGGAACGAGUUAAGAGGUGGGUUGUGCUUACUGAAGCGACUAGGUCGCCUUCAUGCCAAAGUUUAGUGUGUUUCACUAUUGAUGCAUGAUAAGAAUGUUAAGUAUGAAUGCAUGAUAAGAAUGCUAAGUAAGAAUGCACCAUAAUGAUGCUAAUAAAUGCAUAUAAUGGCAUGAGCUAGAUGCUAAGUAAAUGCAUGUGAAGUAUGCUAAUGAAUUCAAGAGCUAAAUGCUAAAUGAGUAUGUAAGACAUACGCUAGAUAAAUGCAUAAGUUAAAUGCCAAGUAACAUGAGCUAGAUGCAUGUUUUAGAAAUGGAUGCAUGAUUGAAAUGCUAAUAAAGAAUGCAUGAGAUAUGUGCUAAGUAUGAAUGCAUGAGUUGUAAGCUAAAGUGUAAAUCGAUGAUCAUUUGAGAAGAACAUAAGUAUGUGCAUGAGAUGCUAAAGAAUAUAUGCAUAAUUCAUAUUAUGAGAAUAUGUUAGAAUAACAUGAAGGUUGAACUUGAGUCAAUGAACUCUAAGUAAAGUAAGGAACUCAAUAAAUGUGGCAUGUAAAGAAUGCUAAGUAUAAAUAACAAGAACAUGAGUGGCAUUAAACCUAGUGUUAUUGAACAUAGGUUACUCACGAGUGGCAUGUCAAGUAUAAUUCCUAGGUGUGGACAACUAGCAAAAUAAGAACAUGAGUGGCAUUGAACCUAGAGUCAAGUAAACCUAGGUUGUGAACAAAGUGACAUGGAAUCUAGGGUCAAAUGAACCUAGGUGGUAAAGAAUAUUGAACCUAGUGUUAAUGAACCUAGGCUAAAAAGAUAACGACGUUGAACCUAAUGUAUAAACUUAGGUUGAGUAAAGGCUUGGACCUAGAUAGGUCGAUACUAUAGGGUGAGACCAACUCUUGAGAGAUGUAAAGUGGAUUCCGGAAUCCCUGUUGCCAGAGCAGCGGCUGCUUGUGACGCACUGGACCUUUGCAAAUUGCGAGGUUCGAGUGUUUGAUCUAUGCGACGAGCCAUCUCAGACUUUCUGAAGGGUCGUAGACAGUGUUCCGACCCAUGGUUCGAGUCCCGAGAAUUGUGGUUUGAAGCGGUGUACCAAAAUCCAAAAAGUUGGAUUUUUGGUUAGCUCUCGGGUUGCCUUCAGCAGGCUGCGUACCGGUACGGGUUCGCUUGCUGUACCGGUACGUGAUCGAUUGCUGUACCGGUACGCGGUUGUGUACCGGUACACAGACCAAUUCCCAGCAAACCCGAGGCUCGGGUUUGGCUUUUCGUGGGUGGUGUACCGGUACACAAACCCGUGUACCGGUACACAGUGCAGAGCGGGCUGUUUUNAAAGAAUAAAGAAUAAAGAAGGGCUAAUACUAAAGAUUGGCAAGUAAUAAAGAAUAAAGAAAGGCAAAUGUUAAAGAAUAGCUAGUAAAAUAAAGAAUGACUAAGACUAAAGAAUGGAUAAGAAUAAAGUGUAGAAGCAAUUAAUCUACUUAUAUGAGUUGCAUAAUAUACAUGAUGCAUGUUGUGAGGCAAAAGCAUGGUAAUGUUAGUUGCAUGAUUUAUGAUUUCAUAUCUAUCUAUUGGACUAACAUGUUGUUUGCCACUUUUGGACCUGAUGGUCGAGCUCUUCCCUUGGGUGGCCGUACCCACUGGGAACCAUGGAGUUGGUUCUCACUUCACGUUGUUUUGGGGUGUUACAGGUUCACAUGUGAGCGGCGCGGCGGCGCGAGGCAAGGGCGUAGCUCCGUAGUUAGCGCCCUACCACUGAGAUCAGAUAGCAGCACCCUGAGUCGACUUCUUAGGGGUAUAAAAUCCAAAGAACCAAGAGUGUGAUAAUUGUAAGAACAAUGUUGUAAUAACUAUGUUAAAACUAAAUUGUAUUUGGAAGUAAGAAUCAAGGAAUUAAAUGUGAUGUAAUUUAAGAAUGCAAAAAUAUAAUAUGUGAGAUGAAUGCUUGUAAUAGUAAGUAGAUUUAUAUUUUUGAUACUUCCUUAUGCAAUUUUUGGUUGAAAUGUGUUCCUGGUUGGAACUUCGUACAUUGUAUUGAUUGCGACGCCUUGAACGUACAGGAGAAAUCCUGUCCGUUCGGCGGUCUGUUGGCGUACCCGAAUCCGACCAAAGAGGCGGGCUCGGGGCGUGAUAAUCUACAUAAAAGGUACUGGACCUCUAAAAUAAUGAAGUUACGGUUUAUGUUUGUUUGGAAAGCCAUUGGAAUUGUUCCGGUGAAGUUCGGAAGCAUUCGGGCGUUUCAGGAGCGCGUAGGCGCGAAAACGGGACCCGAAAGGCUAUGUUGGACCGAGAGCUAAAUCCGGCUUCAGCGUGGAUGAAAAGAUGAUGAAAACAAGCUCGAAAACAUGUUUGGAGAGUCUUGGUUUGAUUUGAAAAGAAUCGGAGACCAAACGAGCGAAAACGAGCGAAAACGGGAGAAAAACGAAAAAGGCUGAAAUUUGGUUAAGUCUGGAAUUCUGGACCUAUGGGGACGGUUCCCUCGGCCAGGGACAGGUCCCUCAGGGACCGGUCCCUCAUGCAAGGACCGGUCCCCGUAGCUUGAAAAUGCCCAGUUCGGGCUGUUGCAAUAGAGGCAUUGUUGAGGAGUUUUUAUGCAAAAAUGGCAUAUAAAGGGUUAAGUAAGGGGUCUCUCUCUUUUUUCUCCCACUCUCCCUCAACCUAAAACCUAAAACACUCUCUCUCUCUCUCUCUAAAACUCUCUUGCUCUCUCUCUUGGAGGUGGGAAGAAGGAAGAAGGAGAAGGUGGAGAAGGAGGCUAGGAGAAAGAGCUUCAUCUCCAUUAUCUCCAUCAUCUUCUUCCUCGCUUUGGAGCAAGCGUGUUGAGGUAAUUAAGCUUCUAGGGCUUUAAUGAUGAUUUCUUAGGGUUUGGUUUAUGCACUAUAAGAGUUGUUUAGAGAGAAUCCUAGGAUGUUAAAUAGAUGAAUAUUGCUUGAAUUGAGACCUAGUUUGGGUAUUCUUGCAAUGGUUAACAUCUAGGGCUCCGAAAGGAGGUUUUUGUAAAUAGUUGGGUUUGAUUUCAAUUGACCCUCUGUAAAUCUAAUUGCUAGGUAAACGAACGCGUUGGUGAAGUCGGUUCGACGAUUUGUCGAGCCAUUGUAAAGAUAUUGAAGAAACUGACGAUUUAGCUUCGUUUCCGCCUGGAGGGCCGAGGCGACGUCCAAAAAUCAUGAAAGCGGAUUUGGAGCACCAAACCGUAGACCUAUAAUUUUUGGAGCCGCGAUUCGGCGCACGGUUGGUGCGCAACUGCAAGAUCGGGCCAAACCGGGUGCCGGGUGCUGCGGGAGGCCGUUUGCAAGUGUCGACAAGCAAUCGGAGAGCAAAUCGAGGUGGGUUGUGCUCACCAAAGCGACUAGGUCACCUAUAUGUCUAAGAGUAAUGUUUAAUAUUGAUGCAUACAUCUGUAGCGGUAGGUUGCAUGAGAUGAUAUAGAUGCCUGAAUCUUAUUAUGCUUGAUGUUUAAUGCCUACCAAUGAGAUAGGUAUGUUAAUGCAUGAUGAGCAUGUUAUAGAGAUGCUAGAUGAAUGCAUGAUUACAUGAUGCUAAGAGGAGCAUAAUAACAUAAUGACUAAUAAUGAAUGCAUGUUGGCAUUGAGAUGAAUGCAUGAUUACACGAUGCUAGGGGAAUGCAUGAUGACACGUUGCAUAUACUAGAUGAUGAUGACCUAUCACGAGAUGCUAGUUGCAUUGUAGGAUAUAUGUCCAUUGCCCUUUCUUAUGCUUUCUAAUAUAUAUCAUAGUGUGAGUUGAAUACUUAAUAUGUGGAUAGAUAAGGAUUGGAUCUUGACGUUGAAUCCUAUAGUGCCAAAAGUAAGAUGAACUCGAGGUUAUUUAGUGACAUAGAGAGUGGCAUCUAAAUGUUUAAAGAACAGAACGAGUGGCACCAAUGUAGUGUAUAUGACACUAGUGGAAUGUGAACAUAGGGAUAGAUGGAUUCCCUAGUAAAUGACUCGUAAACAAAGAACUUUGUAUAGCUAAGCACAUAUGCAUGAUUGUCGGAAUAGGUGAGUUCCGAAAGAGUUGUUGGCCCUUGUUCGUAGGGUGUCCUCAAGUGGAGAGGAUAGAUCAAGCUUACGGUCUGUUAUUGGGGUGGUAUAGCCAUCCGGGGUGGUAUAGCCAUCCAAAUUGUCAUCGAGUACUCCGGAGUGUCGGGUGACUAGGACAGAGUUGAUGUCCGCAGACAAUCCCGGGUUUGAGAGCGAGUUGAGUCUCCUUACCCUACGGGAUGAUGAUGUGAGUUGAGGGCAAACCUUCGGGUUAGCUAAUGGAUUGGGUGACAAACAUAUGAGUUGUAGUUGCAUCCUAGUUGAGUGGAUUUAAGGCUGAGGUGCAAGCGAGACGUCCUUCACCUUGAGCCUGGCUUUGUGCGGUAUUCCGCGGAUGAUUGACUCAAGACCGAGUCGGGUGGAUAGCUUGUAAAGGCAGGUUAAACCUUAUGAGCAGAACUGUAAUUGACAUGAAUCUAAGAUAAAGAAAAACUUAGAAGUCAAUUGGAUGAGCUAUGUAUAGCAGGAUUGAAAGUAGUGUCGAUUGAAUUACUAGUUGGUUGCACGGUUGCAUAAACUGCAUGAAUUUCAUAUUACAUGUUGCGAGGCAUGUUAUCUGUUAGUUGCAUAAUUACAUGACGAUAUAUAUCUGUAGAGAUUUUUGGACUAACAUGAUUGCAGGGCCUCCUUGGACCUAUUGGUCGAGCUUUUCCCUUGGGUGGCCAUAUCCACUGGGAACCAUGGAGUUGGUUCUCACCCUACGUUGUUUUGGGGUGUUAUAGGUUCGCACGUGAGCGGCGCGGCGGCGGCGCGAGGAAAGGGCGUAGCUCCAUAGAUAGCGCCCUACCCCAGAGACCAGAGAUAGUGGUACCCCAAGUCGACAUAGCCUAGGGGUAGAGGAAACGGACAAAGAACAAACUUAUAAUAAUCUUGCGAUCAUUGAUUUUAUGUGCAAGUAAAGGUAAUGAAAAUGUAAUGUAAUAAUGCAAUUGUGAUGUAAAAAUGAAUCUAAUGGGAAUCCUUGUAAUAACAUAGGAUGUGUUAUGUUGUUUUAUACCUUCCUUAUGCAAUCAUUGUAUGAAUAUUGUUCCUGUUUGGAACCUCUUGUAUUGUACUAAUUGCGACGCCUAGGACGUACAGGGGAGACUCUAUCCGUUUGGCGGUCUGUCGGCGUGCCCGAACCUGACCAAAUAGGCGGGGCUCAGGACGUAACACUACAUUUACCAAUCAACAAUCAUCAUGCCAUGCAUUUCCAUACAGCUAGCAAUCCUUGGAGAUGAUGCAUGCCUCUAAGCACUCCUUAGGCGCUGGAUGAUGCAAUGCACAAUACAACAGUCAUCCUAUUAAAAGUGCUCCCCACCCGGAAGCUUUGCUUUUAAAACUCUAAUUCAAACAUUUACGAAAACCAAUUCGAAAACCUUUUGAAAACUGUUUUCUACACGGAAACUCUAUUUUGAAAAUCGGCUACCUCGAGGGGUAGAAAACCACAAUGUAUAAAUCCGUAAAUAUAUAAAUCGAGAAUCAACUAUCCAUAAAACCAAAACCAAGAAUCCGCAAAUCUCUAAUCUCAGAUCCACAAUCUAAUGCAUAGGAGGAAAACCAACUCAUUCAAACAUUCAAACAUCAGUAAUGAUCAUCUAACUGAACCAUUUAUUAUUAACAACUACUAAGAGCAAGAAUGAAAUAUAACCAGGGUGACGGUCGCUACUGCCAACUAGCUAGAUCGUCCUCCCGUCAAGCCCAAAAACUAACUCCUCGUCCAAGUCACCUGGGGGGGAAUGGGGGGUGAGAAACCGCAACCAUGGUUUCCCAGUGGGUACGACAGAACCACGAAGGCAAGCCGUAAUCACCGAAAACCAAAAGAGAUAAAUAAACAAGUAUAGAUGCUAAUAUACGAAAACGAACUACAGUAGCUAUAACAGAUAUGAACAUGAUAUGAUAUAAGAACAACUACAGUAGUAAUAGAAACAGGAUAAUAACUGAGCAAGAACGAAACUACUACUGUAAUAAAACUCAACUGAACGGAUGCCUCAAGGGUAAAUAGUCCAAAAUCAAACCCAAUCUGAUGCUGCUAUAUUGGUCCACAGACCUCAAGCGUUGCCUGUCACAUAACAGACACUGUCAACUUAUUCAUGCGUCACCGACGACCUAUCCGGAUACGUACACCCCUUGGUUGGUGGCCAAACCAACCUGGUGUCUAGAAUACACAGUGUUGUGACUAAAUUAUGCUGGUAUGCUCAAACAAAAACCGACAAAAGAGACCGGUGCCUUGGCCGAAGCCAGGUGCAAGGGCGUACAACGCCGAACCACGAUCAACUAGAUCGAAACACACGACAAAAGAGUCGAUGUGUUGUCUGGACCCAAGGUCCACAGAGAUACAAUAUAUAUGCAACCUGCUCUACAUGUCUAUAUACAACUAACCACAUGUAAUCAAUAAGGUAAAGAUAACGAACGGUAAGCAAAGGUACAUGACAUGUAGAGACUACAAUACUGAUAUGAAAGAACAGAGGAAAGGUGAAACGAUCUCACCAACUACAAGCUCGAAGCACCCACCUGUCACUGUCGCGUCGGAACACUUGGUACGCACAGAGUCUAUCGGACCUAAGGAGAUCCACCAGGUCAGUAUCCAAACCACUAACCGAAAGCACGAUACUCACAAACCCCCACACAAGAUCCCUGUAAUCGGUUUCCCAAAAUCGAUCACCGUAACUCACCGAAAGUCCCGAAAACCACACUGGGACGCUGUCGGGACCAACUAAGUGUCCCGAAACUCACCGACUCAUACCACGAGUCACCCGCUGCCACAAAACACACUAAUUUGAAUGUCUUGGCAGCAAACACAAGGUAACACAACCCAACAAUUAUCGUCGGAUAAUUGUUCGGAUCCGGGUUCCCGGAAGUGUCUAUUUCGACUCCGGAACCCACCGUCGCUCACCCGUCAUCACCGAACCCACAAUAUGAUGAUGGUGACCAGCCAAGAAGGCUCAACAACAAUUUACAGGACAACCAAACCACGUCGGAUGAAAUCCAAACUGAAAUCGCGUUCUUUCGGCGAAUUUCGCCGAAAAACACAACGAAAUCGACUCUUCGAUUUCAGCAAAAGCUAACGGAUUAUGGACAAUCAGUCCAGAGGUCACCACACACGCCUACACACUACCCACAGUAGCCACAAGGUGCACAAUUGCACAAAAGCCCGUGUGUUUACAUAAAAUCCCAAUAUUUUAUGUAAAUCGGGCAAUAACAUGGUUCGUUCAUUCCAACCGAGGACUUUCGAGGUCCACCGAGACACGUACCGACAGGUCUCGAUGUGCCGGAGGCCAUGCUCCUGGUCCGGAGCACAUCGGUUCACUGUGGGAGGCGUGGGAGCAACCCGAAAAUUCUGCGAAUAGAGCGCAGUCGGGGAAAAUCGCGCCGAAUAGCACUAACCGGACUCUGUUAAUCCAAAGUGAGGUGAGCACUGUGAUCAGCACUGACCAACGAUCACCGUGCUCACCUCCGGAAGCAUCAGGACAGCCUCGGAUCGUCGAAAAAGUGCGCGCAAACCCACAACGACAGUCAAAAAGGCCCAAAGGGAGCGACACUACCGAAACAGCGAAACGGAGCUUUUCCGACAGAAACUAAGGUGAACACGAUGAUCAAAAGUUUGCCACGAUCAUCGUGCUCCCUUCCGUGGAGAUCGAGGAGCCUCGUAUAGCUCGGAACAACAAGCCGCAAAGAACCCUAUUUCAGGCUUGGCCGGAGCAAGCUUGCUUCGGCCGGCUUCCGGCGGCACGGCGAGGCACGCGCGGGCCAGGGAUGGGUGCGGGGGAGCUGAGGAGUAUGGUGCUCACCUUGGAUGGUAGCGGAGAGCGGCGGCGGCGACGGCGGAGCAAACCAAACCCGGACUAGCUAGGGCUUGGGUUCCAGGGAAACUGCGGCCACGGCGGUGGCCGGAGCACCUCGGGGACUACGUCGGGGAGUUGCUGGAGGCCGGAGGGUGCCUCGGGUGCGACCUCGAGCUGCGGCGGCGCAAGGAAGGAGCCGCGGAGUCAGCUCGGCCCGAGCAGACUGGGGCGGCCGAGGGCUGGCCGAGGCGGCGGCGGCGUCUCGCUUGGGUGGCGGCGGCCGGCCGCCUGAGGUCGGGGAGGUGCUACAGGAGUGGCCCAAUGUGGCGGCAACGCGAGGGGAAGGUUGCGAGCUGACCUCGUCCUGGGCUCGGGCUGGGUGGCUGCAGAACCUUGUAGCGGCAGCGGCAGCGCGGAGGAGGCGGCGGCGGUCGGCGUGGAGACUUGCCGGGGCACGGGGCGACGCCGGCGAAGGGCCUGGAGGCAAAGCAGCCUCGGCCUGGCUCUAACCCGAGAGAAAAAGAGAGAGGAAGAUGGCAAGGCUGCGGCUGCCUUGCCAUCUGCGGCAGCAGCGGUUGCUGCACGCGCGGUCUCGGUCGGCGGCGGCCGGCGAGUGCGCGGCAUGGCAGGGGAGAGGGAAGAAGGCGGCUAGGUCAACUGGUUCAUCUAGGGUUAGGGUUAGGGAGAGGUGAACCUUAUCCUUCUUGAGGGUGUAGAUGUCCUCAAACAACGCCUCCAUCGUGGCCAACCACGACUCCACCAACCACGGAUCCUUCACGUCUCCAUUAAAGGGUGGUGGGUUGAAUCGCUUGAAUGUCGUCAACGCAGCAAACGAUCGCUCCUGCUCGAAGCCGAUGAACUCGAUGCCGUCGGAGGAAUAGUCGUCACCGGUGCUGCCGCCACCGCAGGAGGUGGUGCUAUAAGUGCAACAGGUGCAGGCGGAUCCCUCGGCACAGAUGACGCUGCCGCCGCCUGUCGCGCCAUCAUCGCAUGGAGCUGUCCAAUUUGCUCCCCCUGAAGCCGCAUAGCCCCGGCCAAAGCCGCGACUUGGGCUCGCAGCUCGCGCACUUCAUCCGAUCUUUCCUGCUCGGGCACUUCAUCAGGCAAUGCCGAAGCGGCUCUACGCGUGUAGCGUCUCGGGGACAUUGUUCCUAAAACGUAACACACGCAUUAAUACUCGACACAUGUGACUCUUACAUGUUCCAAAUAACUACCCAAUUAAGCAAAAGCAAUCAAGUGUAUUUAUUUCUAACCCUUGGCAUCAUGUGGUCGGCCGCCCCACAAGACCUCUUAAGAAGAAAACAAUUAGGCACUUGAAUUCAUCUCUAGUUCCUUUUAGACAAGUACAAAUGUCAACCCAAUCAACUAGCUUCCGCAAUUACCAAGUCCACUUAAACGUUUCCUAAGUCCCUAAGGUCUCCAAACCUAAGGUUCCUAAGUCCAUCCUAGACUUUUGCUUUCUUCCAUCGCUGUGAUACCAUUAUAUCUGUCACGCCCUAAUCCCCGCCAAUUUGGUCAGGUUCGGGUCACGUCAAUAGACGCCGAACGGACAGCAUCUCCCCUGUCCGCCCAAGGCUCUAACCACAAGUAUAAUUAAGCAAUCAACCAAAAUAAUUUACAAUUAUACAAGGCUUGCGCGAGGGUAAGGAAUAACGGAAGCGAAAGCUCUAAGCUAAUAUAUACAACCAUACAUGAUAUUUGAUUAAAUUUAAACUAAAUACAAGUGAACUAAAACUAUUACAUUCUUUUCCUUUUCAUUCAUAAUUUCUUUUACAUCUUAAUCAUUCUCCAAAAUACAUGAAUUGUUUCAACUUUUACAUCUAUAAAUCAACAAAAGAAAGUUGAUACAUGUAGACAAAAGGGAAUGACUAAAUGCAUAAACUUUGGCGGCCACUAGCUAUGGCGCAAUACCCUUGCCUCGGUCAUCCGCCGCCCCCUUGCGCUCGGACCUGUAGGGCUAGUGGUGUGAGAACUACAAUAAAGUUCCCAGUGGGUUCGGCAACCGACCUCGCCGACUUACCCCCUAGGUCUAUUCAGGUAUAAGUAUUUCAAAGGAAAGAUGAUAGUAACCAUACUAAUGCUAAUACUAUGCUUGCAAGAAAUCUGUCAGUGGAUAUAUAUAAUCGAAGCAAUAUUAAAUAUGCAUGCAUGUUUUUCCAUGAUUUCACUUUGGCUUUUACCCAAUCUUACCGGUUAAUCUUGUUAACCGCAAUAACUCACAACACAAAUCCCUUUUUGAUUUGGGAGGCUCUAAGCACUACAAGACCCGAGGGACCGUCUUCGGGGACCGCGCUCCCCGUGGUGACAAUUCCGGAACGCAUCGCUUGAGGGGGAGCUGGGAGCUACCACCCUCAAGCCAAGACUUAUCGCGAGUAUCGAUCCAAUUCCCACUUAGGGAAUGUAUAGCCACUAGCCACAAUGCCAUUAUCAUAAUAGGUUUUUACCUAUUUAUUCAUACCACUCUCUAGGUCAUUCUUACCACAAUGCCUCAAUUGGUUAAACUAUGUUUAACAAUUCAUCUCUCAAUGCCAAUCAUGUCUCUAGUGUCAAUGUCACCAUUAUUUAAUAUUGUCCAAGUCCAAGUCUCACAUUCAUACAAGUUUAGGGUCUCAACAUACAUGUCCAUUAUGAUUCUAUCAUUCUCUAUGUCCAACUACAUUAGAAGCAUUCAAAUGAUGUCUAAUCAAAUUCACAUGUAAAAUUACCCUACAUGCAUGAAUGAAUUUAUAUACAAGUAUGCUCAAUAAAGGUGAAAAUAGACAUAAAGGAGAAUCUGAUGAUUCCGGCGGGCAGCCCCCACCUUGAGUUGUAGUAGAUGAAGAAUACGAUGACUUCCGAACUUUACGAACGCCGAAUCCGCAUCCUAUAACUAAAAUAGUGCCAAAUUAGGCCCUAUAUACACAAACUAUACUUAGACAUUUUCGUAAUGUCGAAUGGAGUUGUCCAACGCGUCGGGAAUACCCCCAAUUAGGUUUCCAAGAGAUCAAUUUGCCUCGAAAAAAUUUUAGGACAAAAAUUUCAAUUUGGGUGCCCUGACAAUGCCAUAUUCGAAUUUUUCCUAGAUUGAUCUCAACUCUAAGCAAAUACUAGCUUAGAAUCACCUAGGAAGCAUUCUAAUAAGGUUUCCAAUCCUUUAGAACCAUCCCUAGGGCAUCUACCAUGAACCCUAGAAGUUCACCAUGAGAGCUCCUCAAGAAAACCAUGUAUUUCAUGGAUUCAAGGUCUCUAGGGGUUUCCUCACUUGUAGAGAGAUCAAAAUCCAAAAAUCUAAGGUUUAAACCCAAACCCUAGACUCAUAUUUGCAUAAGGACUCACCUUUGCCGAAGCUCCUCCAAAGCCUUCUUGUUGGAGAGCUUCUAGGUCCACCAAAACCCUAAAACUCCACCUUCUCCAAGCUCUUCCCCACCUUUCUCAAGCUCUAGGGCUUGCUUCUAGAGAGAGAAAAAGAGAAAAUGUGAGGGGGGAGUGUGAAUGGCUGUGGGAGAGAAGGAGAGAGGGUGUAGGGCCUAUAACAUGUUGUAACAAUUGCAACAUGGCCCUCCCAGUUUUCAUUCAGUGCACUGCCCAGCUUGGGCAAUUUUCGUGCAGAGAGACCGGUCCCCCGACGAGGGAUCGGUCCCCGAGAGCCUUCAGCCUGGUUACGCGUUCGGGAACCGGUCCCUCUGGCCGGGGGACCGGUUGCAUCACGCGUACGCCGCAACCUUCAGCUAGAGCAAUUCAGCACAAAAUGGGCAGUUGCCCAUUUUUCACGCGUACAGGGACCGGUCCUUCAACUCAGGGACCGGUCCCCGAGAGCACAAAGGCUGCAGUCUUACAGACUUGCUCCAGCUUGCUCUUGAAGACCUCUUAUAAUGCACUUUUGCUCUUUUUGAUGCCUUCGGCCUUUUCGAAGUGUACAAACCUCGCACUUUGGUCAUUUUGACUAAAGUUCGAUAUUCACUUACCGAUAUUUCGGUAUGUUACAAAUAUAGCCCACAUGCUCUGGUUUUCCAAUGUAAACUUCUUUAAUCAACUUAGAGUUAUCGACCCAUAUUCAACUUAUAUGAAUUAAGCAUUCAUUUAGCAUUCUCUACAACAUGUCAUUAUGCAUUCCAUCUAGCAUGUUCUACAACAUGUCAUUAUGCAUUCCAUGCCCUUUAUCAUAUGCAUUCAACUAGCAUCAAUCACAUGCAUUUAUCUAGCAUUUCUAUAAUAUGUUAACAUGCAUUCUUUGGUAGCCUAACAUAGCAUUCACCUCAUGCAUACAUAUGUUUUACCACUAGCUACCAUUAUAUGCAUCAAUAGUAAACAUCACUUCGCUUCGACAUGGAAGCGAGCUAAACAUUCCGAUGAGCACAACCCACCUCAAAUCGCUUUCCGACUGCUUGUAGUUACUUGCAAUCGGCCUCCCGCGGCACUUGUUGUCCGGUUCGGUCCGAUCUUGCUAAUAAUCACCAACCGUGCGUCAAUUCGUGGCCUCGACUUUUAAGGGUCUAAAACUUGAUGCCGCGAUGCUACGAAUUCGAUUUCGUGAUUUUUGGAUGUCGCUUCGACCCUCCAGGCGGAAACGAAGCUCAAACGGUCCUUUUUCCAAAUAUCUUUAUGUAGACUUGUCGGAUCGUCGAACAGAGCCCACCAACGCGUCGGAAAUAUCUUCAAUUAGGUUUACAUAGGGUUAAUUUACAUUUAAACCCACCCAUGACAAAUGCCCCAAUUUGGAUGCCCCCUAACAAUGCCAUUUGCCUAAUACACCACUUUGAUCUCUAAAACAAGCAAAAGAGAGCUUGUUCAACCUCUAGGAACUCAUUUAGAACUAUUUAAACCAUUCUUAGGGCGUUUGAAACAAACCCUAGAAAUCCACCAUAGGAGCACUAUGAAGAAACAUGAGUUUUCAUGUGUUCUAUUGCCUCUACAAGGUUUCUUCACUUGUAAGAAGAUCAAAACCAAAGAUAUAGGGCAUAAAACCAAACCCUAACAUCGUUGUUACAAGAAACCUUACCUUAGCUCCAAGCACUCCAAGGUCCACCUUGUAGGAGAGCUUCUAAGCCCUUCAAAAGCUCCAAUCUCCACUUGAUCUCCUUCAAAUCCACCUCUAAUCCACCUUAGUAGAGAGCUUCUAGAGAGAGAGAGGGAGAGAAAUGAGAAAAGAGGGGUGUUCUCAGCUGGGAACAAGAGAAAAGAGGGGUUGGGGUCUUAUAUAGGCUGUUACAAUAGCAAAUAAGCCCUCCUUUUUAUAUUUACAGCAGACCAACUAGCUAUUUUCGCAGCACUGCGUAUCGAUACGCAGGAUUCUGUCACCGGUUUAACAGCCUUUUUUACUCAAACCCGAGAGCAGCUGUUCUCGGUCUGCUGUCUGGUACCGGUACUAACCAGGGGUGUCAACGGUUUAACAGCCUUUUUUAGACUCAGCCAAAUUUUCAGCUUUUCUCCGUUUUCCCUCGUUUUCGCUCGUUAGGCCUCCGAUUCAUCUCAAAUCGCACCGAGACCCCCAAAAAACAUUUUCGAGCGUGUUUCAACCAUCUUUUUAUCCACACUUAUGCCGGAUUUAGUCCAUGGUCCAACAUAGCCUUUCGGGUUCCGUUUUCGCGCUCAACGCACACUAAAACACCCGAAUGCUCCCGAACCUCAAUCUCGCAUUGUUUCGACUCUAAUUCACGCCGAGCAAUGCUAAAACCUUUCCAACUCCAUUGGAACUCAACAUUAACCCUUCCAACAUUGUUGGAAUGUUAAAUGAACUCGACCUAAGUCUAAUAACCUUAGGUCCAAUGCCACUAUACUCAUAGCCUAGGUUCAUUUGACUCUAAGUUCAAUGCCACUCAUGUCAUAACUUAGAUUUACUUGACUCUAGGUUCAAUUCUCAACCUAUGUUCAAUAACACUAGGUUUCAAUGCCACUCAUGAUACUUGUCAUCCUAGUUAUUCACACUUAGGAUUCUUUACAUGCCACACUUGUCGAGUUCUUGACUGUACUUAGAGUUCGUCGUCUCAAGUUCAACAUUCAUGUCAUUCUAGCAUAAUCUCGCAAUAUGAAUCAUGCAUAUAUUCUUUAGCAUCUCAUGCACAUGCAUAUGCAUUCAUAAUUAGCGUCUUAAUCUCAUACAUUCAUUUAGCAUUUAGCUCUUGCAUUCGUUUAGCACCUAAGUUAGGUACUCGUUUAGCAUCUAGCUCAUACUUCCACUUAGCAUAUAUCUUAUGUAUUCUUUAUUAGCAUCUCAAUCAUGCAUUUACAGAACAUCUAGUUCAUGCAUCUAGCUCAUGUAUUUAUUUAGCAUACAUCUUAUACAUGCAUCUAGUAUUUAACUCAUGCACUUAGCAAAUACUCUAUGCAUUCAUUUAGAUUCUAGCUCAUGUAUCCACUUAGCAUGUACCUCAUGUGUUCACCACUAGUAUCUAUCUCAUGCAUUCUUGAUUAACCUCUACAUCAUGCAUUCAUAUAGUAUCUCAUGGUAGGUAACAACAUCAAGCAUAAUAUGAUCUAGGCAUUCAUAUUAUCAAGUACAACCUACCAACUAUACAUGCAUCAACAACACUCAUACUUUACUUUGGCUUGGAAGUGACCUAAUCACUUCGGUGAAGCACAACUCACCUCGUAUGGUUACUACAGUGCCACGGUUCAAGUUUCGUGAUUUUUAGUCGCCUAUUCUCUCGCCUGCGGCAAAACGAAACCAAAUUAGGUUUUUUUCCUCAUAUCUUUGCGUAGACUCAUCGGAUUGGCGAACCGACUCUUCCAACGAGUUAGAAAUACCCCUAAUUUGAUUUCUACAAGGUCAAUUUACCUUGAAACCAACCUAGGGCAAAAGUCCCAAUUUUGAUGCCCUAACAAUGCCAUUUGCCCAAUACACCAUUUUGAUAUCUAAGACAAGCGAAAACAAGCUUAAUCAUCAUCUAGAAACUCAUCUAGAACCAUUUAAACCAUUCUUAGGGCAUUUAAAGCAAAUCCUAGGAUUCUACCAUGAGAGCAUAUAGACAACCAUGAAUUUUCAUGAGUUUCAUGGUCUCUAGUAGGUUUCCUCUCAUGUAAGAAGAUCAAAACCAAGUGUUCUAGGGUAUAAAACCAAACUCUAGCCUAGUUCUUACAAGAAACCUCACCUUAGCCCAAAAGCUCACCAAGCUACACCUUAUAGGAGAGCUUUAGAUCCUCUAAAAGCUCAAAAAUCUCCUUUUUAUCUCCUCCAAUCUCCUCCUUUCACCUUUGGGAAGAGCUCCUAGAGAGAGAGAGGGAGAGAAAUGAGAGAGGAGGGGGUGUUUUUGGCUGUGAGUGAGAGCGGAGGGGUGUGGGAUCUUAUAUAGGUUGCCACAAUUGCAAAUAAGCCUUCCACUUUCUUUUAUUUGCAACAAACCAGACCUGCUGUUUCGCAGCACUGCGUACCGGUACGCGGGUGGGCAUCAUCGGUACUCCCCCUGUUCAACAGCCUAACCCGAGAGCUGAUGUUUCUCGGGUUGCUGUAGGGUACCGGUACUACCAAGGACAGUCACCAAUUAACCAGCUUGGCAGAGGCCAAACCCGAGAGCUGGCUUCUCGGGUGGCCUGCCUGGUACGGGUACUCCCCUGGUGCUUCACCGGUUAAGCAGUGCCCAGACUGCAGUUUGGCAGUGUUUCGACUUCGUUUCACGCCGAGCAAUGCUAAAACCCUUCAAACUCACUUGGAACUCAACUUUAAUCCUUCCAAUAUUGUUGGAAUGUCAAAUGGACUUUGUCCAACUAUUUCUCUCGCAUAUUUUGGUCAAUUUGACUAAAGAUCGACAUAGCUUACCGAGAUUUCGGUAUAUUACAUAUAGCAUUUCAAAAUAUCAUCUAUUCAUGCCAAAUCGCUCAAAUUGAACCCAAAAAAUUCUAAUUAACCUCAAAAUAUUGCUAAUUUUUGCCAAAUCACUCAAAUCUAUAUAAAAAAAUUGUUAUAUUUGAAAAAAAUACUCACGGAUGGGAUCGGUGGCAUGGAGAUUACAAAAGCGAUAUGUGUAGAGGAGGAUCAGCGCGAGAAUAUUAAAAUAGAAUUAAUCUUGUAAUGAUUGAUACUGUAAGCCUAAAUUUAAAAUCUAAUUAUUUUACAUAUUAGGUAAAUAUAUUUUAAAAUUUCAUAAAAAAUUUAACAAAAUGAAAGAAUGAAACGGUAGCUACGAAUAAUUGGUCUAGUAAUCAAUUAUGAUUAUAAUUAUCAUUAAUUGAUGAAACGUUAAUAUACAAAUAAUUGAUGAAAUAUUAAUAAAUCAUAUACUAUACGGCCAAGAACGUAUAGUUGGGGAGGAGAGGGGAGGGGAAGGGAUGGGGGAGAGAGAGUUAUUAUAAAAAGAAAAAAUAGAAUUAAUAGAUGAAACGUUAUAAUUAAUAGAUGAAACGUUAAUAUAGAAUUAAUUGAUGAAAUAUUAAAGAAUUAUAUAGGAGAGGGGUUAAUAGAUUAUUAUAUUAUAUUAUAUAUUAUUAUUAUGAGGAUGAAGGGUUUCUUGCCACGUUGCAAGAAAUAUUGUGGCUUCAUUUAGGUUAAUAGAUAAUAAAUAAUAAAUAAUAGAAGUAAUAGAUUAUUAGAUAAUAGAUGGAUUACUCUUUAGUGUAAUUAAUAUAUAGGUAUCUCCCCUAUAUGCUUUCACUGGAAUAAAAAGGAAAAAAACACACCAUUAGAUUCUAGGAACUUAAAUUUCUCAUGAAUGGCAUUAAAUAUUCAACAUAAUAAUAGUUCAAUAUUUCGAUGAAGAUGUGUAAAUGUGAUUUAGGCUAGACCUAGCUACUUAUAAGCUGAGGUGAGAAAAUUUACAAUCCCUGGGACACGUGUAAAGGAACGAAAAUGAAUAUGGAUAUAUUUGAUGUUCCUUCGGAGAAACGCAAUUGUUAGUUAAUGCUAUCUACGUAUUCCUUCGUGUGUUAAUAAACACAUAAACACUGAAAACCAAACGAAUAAAUUAAAGUCUCCAGAUCAGAGAGAGAGAGAGAGAGAGAGAGAGAGAGUAAGAGAGGGACUGAUUUGUUGUUUUGUGAUUUGGACCCAACACUUGUAAUCUGUAGCUAUGUAUCUGCUGUCCGAGUGUCACGCACAUGUACAGUACAUGGUCGUGCUUAUACUUGGAAUUGUUAUUCAUAAUCCAGCCAAACAUCAAUAAUGUCGGUUUUGCUUCGAAAGCUAGCUUUUGCGACCAAAUGUAACCGUGACCUUACUGAUAUUAUUCAGCUGAUACCUCAAACAGGUACUUAAAAAAAAACACUAAAAAAGGUGCAAAGCUCCUUUUUUCUCGUUCGGUAAAAGGUGCAAUGCUCUUCUUUAUUUUGCUUGGUGAAAGGUGCAAUGCCGGCAACUCUGGACAUCCAUUGUCAGCAUUGCUUGUUUUAAUUACUUGGUGAAAGGAGCAAGAGCAAUGCGUGUUUUUUUUUUUUUUUUUUUUUUUUUUUUUUUUUUGAGAGGGGGCAAGGAUUAAAUCCCUGACCUCUUGGUUUACAGCCGGAAUGCCAUCUGACAGCACUUGACGAUGGUGGUAGAGAGGCCAUAUUAUUAUAAUAAAAUAUUGAUGAUAUUAAGAGAAGUUUCAUAAUAAAAAUUCUUAAUUUCAACGUAUCUUCACUCUUGCGAAAAGUUGCAAGUUCAGAGUGAAAAUUUCAGUUGUGGGCCUGAAAAACUUUUUUCCGCACAUUAGAUAUGUGAUGUGAAGUUACAUGCACAAUAAGCAAAGCAGAAAGAACCUUUCUCCUUCCAAGCAAUUUGGGGACGCCCAUAAAAAGUUCCUACACGGACUAAUGUGAUGCAGUCAGAUGGUUUGAUCCGUCACGAAAAAGUAACGGAGCGCCCACGCAGUUGCCGCUACCGUCACGUAUUUCCGUCACGUUUUAAAGUCGAGAAGCAAGUAGAAACAUCAAGCACUCCUCUCAUCUUUUUCCACCUACCCCACCACCACAGCCACGUGUCAGUUAGGAUCGGGCUGUGGCCCGAGUAUAAAUACCUUGGAGUUCUCCCAACUUGUUCCUUCCCAAAUUGUAUGAGCGGGCACUCCUAAGCGUCCAAAUUAAGAGCCAGCGCUCUACCAAAAGAAGUGGGGGGCAUUCCUCUGGAAUAAUGCACUUCUGCUAGCUGCUAAAUCUCUAUCGAUUCGAUCUGUCUGUCUGUCUAUCGAUAUCUAUCCAUCCAUCCAUCCAUCCAUCCAUCGAUCUAUCUGUCUGCUAAGCUAUCGGAUCGCCGUCAUCUAUCCAUCUGCGUCUAUUUUCAUUUUGUUUCUACUCCAGGGGAUUUUGAGAGGUACGAGCGAGAUGAAGUGAUCACUUUCCAAGAUGAAUGGCCAUAUAUAUAUAUAUAUAUAUUUGACCUGAUUAUUUGGAAUUUUAGUGGCAGAAUUAAUUGUACUAAUUAACAGUCUUUGGUUUGUAACAUCAAUCGAUAUAAAUAAUAAUAUAAAUAAAUUGGUCGGUCGGUGGUUUGGUGGUGAUCGUCACAGGAAGAUGACGGUGACUCCGAGGAUCACGAUCAGCGACGGCAACCUGGUGGUCCAUGGCAAGACCAUCCUCACCGGCGUGCCUGACAACAUCGUCCUCACCCACGCCUCCGGGGCCGGCCUCGUCGACGGCGCCUUCGUCGGCGCCACCGCCGAGGAAUCCAAGAGCCUCCACGUCUUCCCCGUAGGCGCUCUCCGGUAAUAAUUAAAUAAAUAAAUUGACUCAAUUAAUUAACUCUCCUCCUCCUCUUAAUUUACUAUCAUCCAUGAAGGAUGGUUGCCGAUCGAUAUGUAUGUAUGUAUGUAUGUAUGUAUGCACAUACAGGGAUGUUCGGUUCAUGUGCUGCUUCCGGUUCAAGCUGUGGUGGAUGACGCAGCGGAUGGGGACGUGCGGGCGGGAUGUGCCGCUUGAGACGCAGUUCAUGCUGGUGGAGAGCAAAGACGGGGGGGGCGCCGCGGGGGAGACGGUCUACACGGUGCUGCUGCCCCUCCUGGAGGGCCAGUUCCGUGCCGUGCUGCAGGGCAACGUGAGGGACCAGAUCGAGAUCUGCCUGGAGAGCGGUAAGUUGGAAUUUGGAAUUCAUCCGAACAAUCGAACUAGCUAGCAAUCGGAGACGUCCGUACGGUACUUGUAGCAGUAGCAGUAGCAGUAGCACUAGUGGUAGCUAGGAUGCCUCAGAUCAGAGGGCUAGAAUUGCAUCGCGCCGGAUUCUCUGUGUGGGCAGGGGACAAGGCGGUUCAGACUAAGCUGGGGAUGCAUAUGGUCUACGUGCACGCCGGGGCCAAUCCUUUUGAAGUCAUCAACCAGGCUGUCAAGUAUGUACCGCAAGCUUAAUUUCCUCAUUCCUCAACUUCACUUUCUUUUUUCAAUUCUUUUAAUCUAUUAUUAUUAUUAUUAUUAUUAUUAUUACCAUUUUUUUUAAUCUUUUGUUUUAUUUAAUUUUUUUUUGUUUUUAAACUGUUAAACGAAAUGAUACUAUGUUUAAUAGUUUCAUUAAUUAUUAAUUAUAUAAUAAUUACCUAUUAACCGCAUUUUAUUAAUUAACUAGCUAUUAACCGCCAUUCCAAAAUGUUUUUUUGUUGGUUAUUUGUUUGUGUUUUUGUAUUUUUCUUUGUUCCCUCCUUUUUAUCUAUCAAAAAUGCCUAAAUGCUGACCGAGAAUUAAACAAAAAAUAGGGUGGUUGAAAGGCACCUGCAGACCUUCCAUCACAGGGAGAAGAAGAAGGUACUCAUAUAUAUUUAUGAAUUUAUGGUCCACUCACGUUACUCAUAUUUAAGUGCAUGCUAUCCGUACUCAUGAUACUCGACAGUUCUUGUGUUGUAAUUUUUCUUAUAUUUUACUCAUCUAUCUAGUAUGUUCUGCCGUAAGAAAAACGAAGCGACUUAGCUGUUGAUGAUUACAUAUACCCCACACGCAGUUGCCUUCGUUCCUCGAUUGGUUCGGAUGGUGCACAUGGGAUGCUUUCUACACUGAUGUUACAGCUGAGGGCGUCCGCCACGGCCUCCAAAGGUAACCAUCUGAGUCUCGAUUCAUCGAUCCAUUCGCUCCUUUGUUUGAUUCAACUAUGGAUUCAUUGGUGAGGGGGGUGUGAAUCUCAACGGCUGGUUUCUACUCGUGUUCAUAUAGUUUAGCAGAAGGUGGGACCCCGCCGCGGUUUCUGAUCAUAGACGACGGAUGGCAGCAGAUCGGGACAGAGGUCAAGGAUCAAUCCACUGCUGUCGUACAGGAGGGAGCACAGUAUGAUCGUCAAUCAAUCAAUCAAUUCAUUCUUUCCUCGCCCCAAUUGGGAUCGGUACUUGUCCUGCAGUUCGCUGAUCCGAUUUGCUAUAUGUUCUGCAGAUUUGCGAACCGACUCACGGGGAUCAAAGAGAAUGCAAAGUUCCAGAAAAAUAAUGAACAAAACGACCAAACCCCAGGCCUCAAGCUGCUCGUGGAUGAGGCCAAGCGUCAGCACAACGUCAAGUAGGUGCACUCCCAAUUUGCUGUUUGAAAUUUGAAAUAUGCUGCAUCGGUAGGAAAAAUCAUGCUUGCUUGUGUUGGUUGCAGAUAUGUGUAUGUGUGGCACGCGCUGGCGGGGUAUUGGGGUGGCGUGAAGCCGGCGGCAGAGGGUAUGGAACACUACGAGACGGCGCUGGCAUACCCUGUUCAGUCCCCGGGUGUGAUGGGGAACCAGCCAGACAUUGUGAUGGACAGUCUGUCCGUGCACGGGCUGGGCCUGGUGCACCCACAGAAGGUGUACAACUUCUACAACGAGCUUCAUGCGUAUCUUGCCUCGUGCGGCGUGGAUGGGGUCAAGGUCGACGUGCAGAACAUCAUCGAGACCCUCGGUGCUGGACACGGGGGACGUGUCUCUCUUACACGUGCCUACCACCAGGCUCUGGAGGCCUCCGUGAGCCGCAACUUCCCGGACAAUGGAUGCAUUUCCUGUAUGUGCCACAACACCGAUAUGCUUUACAGGUACUUAAAUCUGAUGUGUACAAUUCCUUGUAUUCAUUGUGAUUCUUAGUUUGUUUCGGAUGUGAAUAGCUGGGUUUCUGCUUUUUGCAGUGCGAAGCAGACGGCGGUGGUGAGAGCAUCGGAUGACUUCUAUCCGAGGGACCCUGCUUCGCACACUAUCCACAUCUCAUCCGUGGCGUACAACACGCUCUUCUUGGGAGAGUUUAUGCAACCUGAUUGGGAUAUGUUCCAUGUCUGUACAUUUUGCGAGUAAACUUAUUUGUCAAUUAUUUACGAUGAAUUACGAGUAAUUAUAACCCAUAAAUUGUGGUAUUUUCAGAGUCUACACCCAGCGGCGGAAUACCACGGCGCAGCUCGAGCUAUAGGUGGUUGUGCCAUUUAUGUUAGGUAAGCUACCAUUUAAAGAUCUUUUCGGAUUUCUAUUGUUGUUUCAUAAUUGAGUGCUGCAAUUGUCCUACUGGUUCACUUGGUAUUUGGUAACACUUGUGAAUCCAAUUUGUGCUGUUAUGUCUUUUUUUCUCAUUCUAUGAUUGAUAUUUCUACCUAUGGAUUGCAUGGUAUAUAUAUCAGCGACAAGCCAGGAAACCACAACUUCGACCUGUUAAAAAAACUAGUUCUACCUGAUGGGUCUGUCCUCCGUGCUCAGCUCCCUGGCCGCCCUACGCGUGAUAGUUUAUUCUCCGACCCGGCCCGUGAUGGCACGAGGUGAGUUAUCCAUUAGCACUUCUACUGUCUAAUACUGAUCAAUUUGUUGAACAAAAGAGGAACAUAAAGUAAAGUGGUGGUGUCACUCUUGCAGCCUGUUGAAGAUAUGGAAUGUGAACGAGUGCUCUGGAGUGGUGGGCAUCUUCAAUUGCCAGGGCGCCGGAUGGUGCAGGAUCACAAAGAAGACACGUGUCCAUGAUGCAGCACCCGGUACCCUGACCGGCAACCUCCAUGCUGAAGAUGUUGAUACCAUCGCCAAACUUGCAGGCCCGGACUGGGAUGGACAAACUGUUGUCUACUGUUUCAAAUCAGGUUAAACUAGAUGGCUCCAUCCAACUAUUUUAAGUUCAUCAUUCUUCGAUCUCGUGCAUAGUGUUGAGCUAGUCUGACGUGCUCUACUCUGUGUCCUCAGGUGAAUUGAUUCGGCUACCCGUAGGUGCUACCUUGCCGGUGACCCUGAAAGUUCUCGAAUAUGAGCUCUUCCACAUCUGCCCUAUCAAGGUGCCGAGCUGUCCCAACUCUCGCAAUCACCGUUUUAAAACUGUUUAAUUUAUAAGCUAUAGCCCUUUCAUUUCCUGUUAUCUUCCCACUUCCAGGUGAUCGCCCCCGGCAUCUCCUUUGCGCCCAUCGGCCUGCUUAAUAUGUUCAACUGUGGCGGAGCCAUAGAGCAAUUCGACAUCCGUUAUGAAGACAAAAAAGCAGAGCAAUCGGGGGAUUAUGGAGCAGCCAAUGCAGCGGUGCUCCUCAAGGUCCGAGGCUGUGGUCGAUUUGGGGCUUACUCUUCCAAGAAGCCGAUUAAAUGCACAUUAGAUUCGUCCGAGAUGGAGUUCAAUUACGACUCGACCACCGGUCUCAUGACUAUCGAAAUCCCUGUGCCGGAGAAGGAAAUGUAUAAGUGGACUCUGGAGAUCCAAGUCUAGAUGUGCAAUUAUAAGCCUAUUUGGAGUGCCUUUGCUUUGUUCUCUCUAGUACUUGUGUGUCCGAGGGUCGACGGAUGUUGUGGUGAAUGUUUUAUUGCGGAGGGAGCUUUAUCCGGGGAGGAUUUGUACCUUUCGGCUUUCGAGCCGUGUAAUAAGCACAUUGUGCUUGCAACAACUCAUGCAAUAAGAUUUUAGUACUUUUAUCUAUAAUACAAUCCAAUGGUGUACUCUUGCUUUUGUAUUUCUGCUCGGAUUCGGCAGAAACCCUUAACUUGAAAGUUCUAUCUGUACCUAGCUAGCCCUUUAUCUCCUUUUGUUAUUUUUCACGGAUGCAGUAAAAGCCGUUUAAGUAGGCAAUUAAUGAAUGGGGUAACGGGUGAACAUCGACAGAGUUCCAGCUAAUUCACUUUUCACUGCGCUGAAUUUAAUCAAUUGGCACGUCAAUUUUCAAAAUUAUUCUAUUCCUCUCAAUAUUGAUUCGUCGUACUACCCUUUGGAGUUUGGCACUAUAUUUCAUUUCAACGCCUGCUUGAACAAACAUGAUCUGAUGGACUCUAGCAGUGUUCUCUUUUCAAAAAAUUGCGUCCCUUUGAAACCACAGUCAAGCAAAUAAAUAUAGGCUAUGCAUAUCAAAUCCGGCAGGACUAGUUGUUGCUUCACUCGACAGCCUUUGUUUCAUAGAAGCUGUUUCUUCUAGAAAAGUCAUAUUUUGGAUAACUCAAGGAAACUUAAUUCCAAAAAAGAAAAUAAUUCGCCAGUUGAUCUUGGUCGUGUGCUAUGCAUUUACACACGCUCUUUAACCAUCUUAAUUAAUUCAAAGUCUGUUGCGGACAACCCAAAAUUCUUUGGAAUCCUUUUUCGAAACAGUUGGGCUAUUGCUCAUCAUCCUACACAUGCAGAAAAUUACUAUUAUUUUGCUCAAUGAACUUAGGACGCGUUUGGUUCAGAUGUGUUGGCAUUCGGUUAACCCAAAUCGGGUGUGCCUAUGAUCAGGCUCAAUCCAAUGAUUAUUAUAUCGUCUAAUUAGACUAGACUUAAUUUAGCUUUUAAGUUGAAAAACUAAUUUGAGAUAUAUUCUAGCUAUAUUAGAAUAACUAUUAAAAACCGAUUCGGCCUAAUCUUUUACUUACCUAUUAGGGUGUUGGGAUCCCUUAUAAAUAUACAACCGAUCCUCUCAUAAAAUAACAAGAAGGAAAAUAGAAAAAAAAAAAAAUCUUUAUAAAUUCGUGAUAAAUUUGUGAGUCAUCUUUGCAAGAUUGAGAAACCACAUCCUCCGUUAAUAUAUUGCUUCUAGAGAGCCUUGAAUGGUGGAUUAUAAAUGUAACUCAUUCGUAGCUCGAUCUACCGCCAGUUUGGAGCUCUAGAAGACCCUCACGGGCGAUCCGAUGAUACAUUAAUCAACUUUUACGAUCCGGGGAUUAUCGCAUGCUAACACGACUUGCUUUUGAAACAAGUACGAACAAAUAUUUCUGCUGCGAUCUACAAGAAGAGAAAUCAAAAUCAGAAUGUUGGAAUAGAAAUGAGCCAGAAUUUAAAACAGAAUUGAUAAAAAUAAUAAUUUGUUUGGUUCAUAGGAGGAGUUCGAAUCGGAGUCGGAAUUAGAAUCAUGUCUAAAUAUAUGGAAAUUCAAAAAAUUUACAUUUUUGUUAUAAUUUAAAUUUUUUAUUCAAAUUUUGAUUGAAAACUUGAAUCUAAAUUUGAACUUACAAUUUGAACUUAAAAUUUGAAUUUACAAUUCAAAUUCAAGGUCUAUGUUGAAACCUAUAUAUAUUCAGAACUAUAAAUUAAAAUUUAGAAACUUAAAAUUUAAAUUUUAAAUUCAUAUUUCAAAUUUAAAUUUGAAAUUAUGGUUUAAUCUAAUGAUUUUAUAUGAUUUAUACUUGAAUUAAAAUAAUUAUUAAUGGAAAAACAAUCUUUUUUAAUCCCUUCGGAAUCAAAAUUAACUCACACUAUGAAGGUGGGAGUUACUUCUGAGAUAUUCGAAUUCCCCUAGACUGAGAAUCAGAAUGCCAAUACUUCAAUCCAAAUACCAAUAAUGAGAAUAGUUUAUUCCGAUUUUUAUUUUAAGUCUCAAAUAUUUCAAACCGAACAUGCAUGCAUUGAAUUUUACUGACAUAUAUAGUUAUAACUUUCGGAUUCCUUGAGCGUGCUACUUCAUUAGCUAAGAAAAUCAGGCGUAAUCUUCAUGAGUCAUAUGUCGUCUCUGCGUACGCGGAGGACCUUCGACAAAGAAGCGUGAAUGCCGUGUUCGCUUCUGCUUGCAGAAUUUGGUCGACGACAUUCCAUCUCCAAAAAUUUUCUUUCUUUGACACCUGGUAGGGCUCAAUCAAGAAAAAUCAAGUACUGACGUGGGUGACCUUUUAUCUUCAUUUGGAAUAAAAUGGCCCUAAUGAAAAUGUUACUACUGGUUGUUCAGAUUUGCAUAUCAGUAAAAUACAAGAAAUCUUUAUAUAUCAAUACCAGAGGUUCCAACAGAUAUUAAUACCUGGUCUAGCUCUUUAUUUCCUCUAUCAAACAUUUCUGUGUUUCAUUUUUUAAAAAAAUAAUAAAAAAAUAAAAUCAUCUCUAUUCAUAUUUUCAUCCGUUUAAAUCCUUAUUUUUGAGGGAUCUAGUGAGAAUCAGGUUAGCAUUAAUAUCUAAUCUCCCUAUGAUCUAUAAAUAUAUGAGGAAUUGACCAUGCACAUAAUAUAUAACUAAAUUAGAAUUAUCGCUCCAUAAAAAUUCUUUCUCUUUAUUUCACUCUAGGGCAUCAUCAGAAGCUCUAGGAAUUUAGGCAGUGUGUUUCGAUUAACUCUGGUAACAGGUUUGUGACGAGAAAAAUCAACUCUGUAUACAUGCUAAGGACGAAAAAAGAUAUUAGUUGGAUUGAGCAGUUCGUAAAACAAGCUGAGAUUAGAUCUGAGCAAUUACAAAGUAAAAUUUGCAACAAAAGGAUAUGUAAAAUCUAUGUGACUUUUUAUCAUGAAUUAGUUCAUAAUUUCCAACAAUAGUAUUGGAGCUGUACGGUGCUUGUUUUUCGCUCUAUGAUCCAUUUUUUUCGAUAUCUAAAAAAAAAAAUUAUUUAAAUUGUUUUUUGGAUACUAUGGAAGGAUUAAUUUGCACAAAAAANAAAAAACUGGCAUUGUCUUGAGUUGCAACUGGUGACCAGACUCCGCUCAAUCGUAACUCAAGAUUGUAUACGAACUUGUCCCCAUCUGUGCAUGUGAUCUGCAUGAUUUUAGGCGUGCUAAAUUGUGCAUGCCAGAUGUGCAGGACAAAUGCGUAAGUGUCCCUCACCAGCCCGUACAGGUUCAACCGGUGCCUUGGGCCGCGCAGGGGCCCUCUCUAGCGCAGGCUAGCCUGCGAGCCAAGCCAGCCAACGUCACGCACGAAGUUGCAGUGGAAGUCCCCCACUGCAUCAAUAGACCCGUCGUAUGCGCAAGGACGUACCCUGUAUGCACAAAGCAUCAAAGAACAACCUGCUAGAAAUCAACAAUCCUAGAUGUCCACAACUAACCAGAAUGCAAAAUUCCUAGAUGUCUAAAUCUAACAAGUAUAACAGGUAUAGUUAUAUGUACAUCCAUCAUAUCAAAAAUAUCAACAUAAAUAUACAUACAAAGAUAUCAACAUCAAUCAGCCGAAAAAUAAACUAUAAGUACAUCCUAUACUGGCUGUCAUGUCCCGAGCUCGCCAAUUUGGUCGGUUCGGACACGCGCACAGACGCCAAACGGAUAGAGUCUCUCCUGUCCACCCGAGGCUUAACUACAACAAUAGCAUGUAUAAAGAGUUGCCCAGGAAAACAUCAAUAUACAUGACUUGCACUAGGGCAAGUAAACAAGAGCAAGUGAAAGAAAAUUUCUAUCUAUUACAACCAUACAAUUUGAACUUUGAUUACAUUUAGCCAAAAUACAACUCUUUUACAUAUGUCAUUUCAUACAUUGUUCAUCUCCCAAAAUACAUCCAUUACAUGUUUUUUUCAUCAAAUACAAAAGAUGAAAAUAAAGGGUACAACUAAUGCACCAAGGUCCACUACCUAGGGCGCUAUGCCCUUGCUGGAAUCCUCGACCGCCUCACUCGCGCUAGGAUCUGCAAAAUGGUGGGGUGAGAACUACAAGAAGUUUCAUGUGGGUUCGACCGCCGACCCCGCCGACUUUCUCAUUAGAUCUAAUCAGGCAUAAGUAGAGAAAGAUAGAUAAACAACUCAAAACUAAUGCAGCUACUAUAUCUGUAACAAGAAACAAUACAUAUAAGAUACUCAUGAUGCACGUCAUGUCCAUUACCAUAAACUAAUCAUUUUGGCUAACCCAUAGGUUAAGCCCAACUCACUAAACCAAAUCUCUUUUUAUAGAGGAGAAUUUUGCUACAACCCGAUGGGAUCAUCUGCUGGAGAGAAUUUCGGUACCGCCCAGUUGAUGACAACUCCGGAGCUCACCGCUUGAGGUGGAGCGACCACCCUCAAGCAUAUCAGACUAUAUGUGAGUAUGACCUAAUCUUCUAACCAUGAGGAUACCAUGUCAACUAAUACCAUAACACUCGUAGUGUACCAUUCUCUAACAUUCAAUGUUUCUAGGUGCUGUUCAACUCAUCUAGCCAUAAUGUCACCAUAUUUACUGUAACGCCCCCAAUAGUCCCACAUUUGAUGGGAUACUGAUUUCGAUCAGUUUAUAUGAGACCUACACGCUAGUAAUAAUAACUGGGCUCAAGCAUUUUGGCCGAUGGUUUGGGUUCAACGAGUUAUUAUUGUUAGCGGGUCAGGUCGGGUCGUUAUAAUUGGUAUCAGAGCCGAAUACCAGCCGGAAGUGUGAGAGCUAAGUGUUAUGCGGGGCAAAGUGCUACACCAAUGGGUUUGGUGGGAGCCACCUCUUGAACCCGUAGGAGCCACCUCUAGAUUCUCACAUCGAAAGGUAAUUCUGGUCCCGGUCUGUCUGUCUAUAAUCUGGUUUGGACCCGACGAGGACGUCAGGGUCUAAACAGGGGGAGUUUGUAACGCCCCCAAUAGUCCCACAUCGGAUGUGAUACUGAUUCCGAGUUUAUAUGAGAUCUACACACUAGUAAUAAUAACUGGGCUUAAGAUGGAUCGGUUGUUCGGGCCCAAUGAGUUAUUGUUGCUAGCGGGUCGAAUCGUUACAUUUACUACAUUGUCAAUGUUCACAUCUUAGUUCAUACAUCUAUUGGGUUCUCAUGUGUCCAAGGUUCCAUUCUCAAUUUGUCACGCCCCGAGCGCCGCGUUUUCCUAAAGGUGUCGCCGAUGCGAGGAAUUAGACGGUUUGGGCUCCGGGGGAAGCUAAGUCCCCGGUACCUCGGACCGUUUGAGCUAUUGGAGCGGGUCGGCGCGAUGGAGUACAAGAUAGCAUUACCACCGAGGCUUGCAGGAGUGCAUGAUGUAUUUCACGUAUCGAACCUCCGCAAGUAUGUUCACGACCCCGAGCAUAUCCUGUCGUUUGAACCGUCCGAGAUCCAAGAGGACGUGACCUAUGAGGAGUUCCCGGCAUACAUCAUCGAUCGAGAAGUAAGAAAACUACGAAAUCGCGAGAUUCCGUAUGUUAAGAUUCGUUGGUUCAAUCACGAUGAUCGGGAAGCUACUUGGGAGCUCGAGAGCGCAAUGCGGCAGCAUUAUCCUCACCUCUUUAACGAGCUGAAAUGAGGUAUGAGUUUAAGUCUAAAUUAAGUAAGUUUCGCGGACGAAACUAAAUUUAAGGAGUGGAGAAUGUAACAUACCGAAAUCUCGGCAAUUAAAUUCGAACCUUGGUCAAAUUGACCAAAGUGCGAGGUUGGUACACUUCGGAGAGGCCGAAGGCGUCAAAUAAUGCAAAAAUGCAUUACUGGGGAUCUUCGAGAGCUUUUGGAAAUCAAAAUCUGCAAACUGCAGGUUUUGUACUCUUGGGGACCGGUCCCUGGUGGGAGAGACCGGUCCCCGAACGCGUAGGCAGCGGGGUGGGCUGAGAAAUUGGCUAAGUCCUGGAAAAUCAGCUCUCGGGAAUCGGUCCCUGUGAAGAGAGACUGGUCCCCAGCGACCGGUUCCAUUGAGGGAGACCGGUUGCAUCGCGCGCAGCCUGCCCAGUCAACGGGAGAAGUUCUCGGGGACCGCUCCCGGGUCGGGGAGACCGGUCCCUCACUGCGAAAAAUGCCCAGUCUGGGCAGUGCACUGGAGAUAAAAUGCGGGGGCUUAAAUGCAAUUGUCACAACACCUUAUAUGGCCCAACCCUCUCUCCCUCACAGCAGCCAACCUCUCCACUCUCACUCCUCUCAUUUCCCUCUCUUCCUCUCUCUAGAAUCCUAGCUCUAGAGCUUGGAGAAGAAGAAAAAGAAGCUUGAGGAGGGAUUUUUGGUGGAUUUGGUGGGUCUAGAAGCUCUCCAACAAGAAGGCCUUGGUAGAGCUUGGGACUAAAGGUAAGUUUUUGCAAGAUAUCUUCUAGGGUUAGGAUUUAAACCCUAAGUUUUGGAGUUUUGAACUUCUUAGAGGUUCAUGUUAGAGCCAUGAACACCAUGAAACUCUAGUUUUCUUCAUGGUGCUCUAAUGGGGGAUUUCUAGGGUUUGCAUUCUAAGCCCUAGAGAUGGUUGGAAUGGUUCUAAAUGAGCUCCUAGAGGUUAGAUAAGCUCUUUUUUACUUGUUUUAGAUAUCAAAACCUAUGAGUUUGCUAAUAGUGGCAUUAGGGCACCAAAUUUGGGACUUUUACCUCCGAGUGUUUCUAAGGCAAAUUGACCUUGUAGAAACCUAAUUGGGGGUAUCCCCGACGCGUGGGACAACUCCGUUUAACGUUACGAAAAUGUUUAGAUGGAGUUAUUGAUAAAAAGCCUAAUUCGGCUUUGUUUUGCCGUAGGCAAAAAAGUAAAGCUUCAAAAAUUUUAAUUAAGAAAUUCACCGUAGCAUCCUCUCAACUUUCUUAGGUGGGUGGUGCAUUCCAAGGAUCUCGAAAAUUUCUUUAUGUCUAAGUGUCAUGUUUUGAGCAUAUGUACAUAUUUAAGCAUUUUGCAUAAUAGGGUUAAAUUGUAAACUUUUAUAGCAUGAUGUAAAUUCAAAUGCAUGUCAAAUACUUGUAAGAAUGUGAGAAUGAUAAUCCCUAUGUAUGCAUGAAUGUGACAAGAACCUAGAAGGGUUAGUAAACAAAAGUGACACUAUGACAUAGAUCUAACGAGUGGCAUUGAUGAGUUUAGAAUAUUUAGAAAACAAGUGUGGCAUUUAGCAUGAGAACAAGAACAUAGCACUUAGAAAACAAGUGUGGCAUGAGUACAAGAACUUUGUAGUGUAUAUGACACUAGUGAUAGUAAAGAAUGCAAAGAAAAGAAUGAUUGAGACAUUAUGACAUUUUAACCUUAGAGUUAAGGGUCAUUUGAGCAUGGUCUUCCUUAAAAGUUAAGGAAUGGAUUGAACUUAGAAUCCUCAAUGUAGGAUUGAUCGUACUCACCUUUAGUCCUUGCUUGAGGGUGGUAGCUCCCCCUCGGGCGAUGUGCUCCGGAGUUGAUAUCACUGGGUUGUAGCGGAUAUCUCCCCAAAGGACGGUCCUAUCGGGUUGUAGCGAGUAUCUCCCCGGUUAUUAGGAUUUUGGGUUGGUGAGUUUGUUAAGGGCGAAACCUACGGGUUAGCCAAGAGAUUAGGUAAAGAAAUUGUGAUCCUGCAUUCAUCAUAAGUAUUAUAUCGAGCAUCGCAUUUUAUAUUGUUCAGGCAUAUUAGUUGUAUUUAUUAGUUGGUUACUUUCUUUUCUCUACUCUAUUAUGCCUGAUUAGAUCUAGUGGGAUAGUCGGCGUGGUUGGUUGCCGAACCCACUGGAAACUUUGUUGUAGUUCUCACACCCCUAUUUCCAUAGAGCCGGAACCGAGCGAGCAGGCUGAUGAUCGCGGUAAGGGCAUCGCGCCCUAGUUAGAGACCUCCCGAGUGGUUAUCAUUUUGUAGUGGCAUACCCUCUACUUAUACAUCAUCUUUGGUAUCUUGAUGAUUAUACUAUUAUGAACAUGUUAAAUGAAUGAUGUAAAAGAGUUUAUGUUUAAAUGCAAAAAUUUAUAUUUGAGAUCAUGCGAUGUAAAAGAGAAGAAAUGAUGCAAAAUUAUAAUUGAUUUCCUAAGUGCAGUUUAUUACUUUCCCUAUUGGCUAUUGCUUGCCCUCGUGCAAACCAUUGUGUAUACUUCCGCUUAUGCAAAUUGUUACUCUAUUGAUACUUUUUGUUGAGCCUUGGGCGGACAGGGGAGGCUCUGUCCAUUCAGCGUCUGUUCAACGCUCUCGAACCGGCCAAAAGGAUCGGGCUCGGGGCGUGACAAUUUACCUUACGAUCAAAAGGUCACAAAAUUGAUAAUUUUUAACGGCCGGUAUGAGAUAUUUGCUAGUUUAACAGUGUAAAAGAAUCGAAAUCGGUUGAAUAUUUGAUAGAAAAUUUUAUUCACUACAUAGAUAAAGAUCAAUAACUCCGAUCUUAAAUUGAAAGAUCCGAUCAUCCAUUUUUAAGAUGUCGUUCGAUUUUGACCGUUCAUUUUAUACCCGCUUGAUGGACUUUAUUAUGAUUUUGAAAAAUUACGAAAUUUAUUUUCUAGAAGUUUGAAAUACUCUAGAUCAUAUUUAACGGAGUGGAUCGUCGAUCUGGAAGCUCCAUCAUUGAAAACAACUUAUGAGUACGAAGGGCCCAAUACUCAUAGUAGCCUUACUCUCUCUCUCUCUCUCUCUCUCUCUCUCUCUCUCUUCUUUCCUCUAUAAUAUUAUAAUAUAUAAUAUACUAUAGAAGAGAGAGAGAGAGAGAGAUGAGAGAGAGAAGAGAGAAGUGAGAGAGAGAGCAGAAGAGAGGCAUAUGCUUCUGGAAGCACGGAGGCGGCUCCGUAUCCAGGUCGUUUUCGAUGUUUCGACUUUCGAAUCGUCGAUCGGCUCCGUUAGACUUGAUCUAGGUAUUUGAAGUAUCUAGGAAAUAAAUUUGCGAUUUUUCGAUAUAUUUGCAAGUAAUCGAAGUGGCUCAAAAUCAACGGUUGAAAAUAAAAAUCUUACAAAUAUGAUGAUAUGACAUUAAAUUUUAGAUCAAACCUAUUUGAUCUUGUUUUAUAUGGUAUAAAAGAAUUUUCUAUCAAAAUUUCAUGUGAUUUGGAUAUUUCUACACCGCUUAAACUUGCAAACGGCUCACCACGGCCGUUAAAAUUAUUGAAUUUGAGCCCAUUCGAUCACUAGGCAAAUGAUAUCGAAAAUCACAAAAUUUAUUUUCUAAGUACUUCAAAUACUCUAGAUCAACUCUAAUGGGCGCAUCGUCGAUUUCGAAAGUCCGAACAUCGAAAAUAAUCUGGAAGCACGAGAGGGCUGGUAUGGGCUCCUGUGCUUCCAAGAAGCAUACCAGCCCUCUCUCUCUCUCUCUCUCUCUCUCUCUCUCUAUACUAUAAUAUAAUAUAUAUAUUCAGAGGGAGGAGGAGGUGAUGAGACCUGAGAUCUGCUUGGGGUCUUCAGUGAACCCGGGGAUCCUCACGAGAGGACGGAGAAAGAGAGAGUAGGGCUGUUUUGCUCUUAGGAGUAUGGAGGCCUCCGUGCUCCUGAGCCGUUUUCAAUGAUGGAAUUUUCGAAUUGACGAUUGGCUCCGUUAAACUUGAUUUAGCAUAUUUGAAGUUUAUAGAAAAUAAUUUUUGCGAUUUUUUGAUAUCAUUUACCUAGUAAUCGAAAGGAUUCAAAAUCCAUAAUAUUUAAUAGUUGAUAUCUGCCGUUUUCAAGUUUAACGGUGUAGAAGUAUUCAAAUCAGAUGAAAUUUUGAUACAAAAUUCUUUAUACUAUCUACAACAAGAUCAAUAUUUCUGAUCGAAAAUUUUAGUGCUAUAUCACCACUUUUUAUAGGACUUUUAUUUCCAGCCGUUAAAAAUUAUUGAUAUUGAAUUCUUUCGAUUGCUAGGUAAGUAAUAUCGAAAAAUCGCAAAAAUUAUUUUUUAGAAACUUCAAAUACGCUAGAUCAAGUUUAACGGAGCCGAUUAUCGAUUCGAAAAUUCCAUCAUCGAAAACGGCUCAGGAGUGAGAGCACAGCAGUCCUGCUAUAUAUAUAUAUAUGCGGGGGCUACUAUACUCUUAUGAGUAUAGACCCCCUUAUACUCAUAAAUUUUUAACCAUUGAUUGAUGGGAUGUGAGGUUAGGAUGAUGGUGGUCCCUACUUAGAAUGAUAGUGGUCCCCUAGAGUUGAGUGGGUAGUUAGUUGAAUAGUAUGAUCUAACGGGUGAAAAUGAUCAAUUGAAAAAAUCCAAAGGCUAAAAACUUAUGAGUAUAAGGGAGCCAAUACUCAUAAAAGUAUAGUAGGCGGACUCUAUAUAUAUAUAUAUAGAGAGAGUACGGCUAAUGUGCUUAUGGAAGCACUGAGGCCUCUGUGCUUUCAAUUUGUUUUUGAUGUUGGGACUUUCGAAUCGACGAUCGGCUCCAUUAGACUUGAUCUAGAGUAUUUGAAGUAUCUAGAAAAUAAAUUUUGCGAUUUUUCGAUAUCAUUUGCCUAGUGAUCGAAGGGGCUAAAAAUCAACGGCUGAAAAUAAAAAUCUCACAAAAUGUGAUGAUAUGACAUUAAAAAUUUAGAUCAAAGAUAUUGAUCUUAUUUUAUAUAGUAUAAAGACUUUUCUAUCAAAAUUUCACGUGAUUUGGAUAUUUCUACACCGUUAAACUUGCAACCGGCUCACCACGGUUAUUAAAAUUAUUGAUUUUGAGCCCCUUUGAUCACUAGACAAAUGAUAUCGAAAAAUCGUAAAAUUUAUUUUCUAGGUACUUCAAAUACUCUAGAUCAACUCUAACGGAGCCGAUCGUCGAUUCGAAAGUCCGAACAUCGAAAAUAACUUGGAAGCACGGAGGCCUCCGUGCUUCCAUAAGCAUACCAGCACAACUCUAUAUAUAUAUAUAUAGAGUGAGGCUACUAUGCUUCUGGAAACACGAAGCCUUCCGUGCUUCCAGGUCGUUUUCUAUGUUGCGACUUUUGAAUCGUCAAUCGGCAACGUUAAACUUGAUUUAGAGUAUUUGAAGUGCCUAAAAAAUAAAUUAUGCGAUUUUUCGAUAUUAUUUGCCUAGUGAACAACGGGGCUCAAAAUCAACGGCUGAAAAUAAAAAUCAUACAAAACGUGAUAAUAUGAUAUUAAAAUUUUAGAUCAAAGAUAUUGAUUUUGUUUUAUAUAGUAUAAAGAAUUUUCUAUUAAAACUUCACGUGAUUUGGAUAUUUCUACACCGUUAAACUUGCAAAUAGUUCACUAUGGCCAUUAAAAUUAUUGAUUUUGAGCCCCUUCAAUCACUAGGCAAAUGAUAUCGAAAAAUCAUAAAAUUUAUUUUCUAAGUACUUCAAAUACUCUAGAUCAAGUCUAACGAAGCCGAUCGACGAUUCGAAAGUCACAACAUCGAAAACGACCUGAAAGCACGGAAGGCUCCGUGCUUCCAAAAUGAUAGUAGCCUUACACUAUAUAU
rnacentral:lncRNA from 1 species